GAGCCGUCGGGGCUCGAAAAUAUCUUCUCAAAACCCUGUGAAUCUGGGCUUGAUAUACGUUAUUUAACUAUUUCCGAUGGAUUUCCGUUGGAAUUCGAUCGGAAUAUGAAUUCGUUGCCAUUUUUGGAAGGUUUAAUAAAUGGGUUUUCGAAUUAUGUUGAUAAACUAGUUGGGGAUUUAGCGAAAGAGGAUUGUGUUGAUCCAAUUAAUUGUUUGAUUGCUGAUACUUUCUUCGUUUGGCCAUCGAUUAUCG
rnacentral:misc_RNA from 1 species